rnacentral:snRNA from 1 species
AUCGCUUCUCGGCCUUUUGGGUAAGAUCGAGUGUAGUAUCUGUUCUUAUCAGUUUAAUAUCUGAUACGUCCUCUAUCCGAGGACAAUAUAUUAAAUGGAUUUUUGGAGCAGGGAGAUGGAAUGGGGCUUGCUCCGUCCACUCCAUGCAUCGACCUGGCAUUGCAGUACCUCCGGGAACGGUGCACAGAAA